UGGAGAGGUGGCAGAGUGGUCGAAUGCGUCCGACUUGAAAUCGGAUGAAGUGAAAACUUCCGGGAGUUCGAAUCUCCCCCUCUCCGU
rnacentral:tRNA from 2 species